UGUAUCAUAGCCAAUGAGGUUAAUCCGAGGCAUGAUUAUUGCUAGUUGAAAACUUAUCCCUUC
rnacentral:snRNA from 1 species